CGGUGUUUAACUGGCGUGAUGUGGGACGUCCUACCGGUGGGCUUAGCCUCGCGAGGGGCGGCCCAACUAAUAUCCCGUCGCGGUGCUCUUUACUGAGUGUCGAGUCGGGCCGGUACGUUUACUUUGAACAAAUUAGAGUGCUUAAAGCAGGCUAUCCUCGCCUGAAUACUGCGUGCAUGGAAUAAUGGAAUAGGACCUCGGUUCUAUUUUGUUGGUUUUCGGAACCCCGAGGUAAUGAUUAAUAGGGACAGAUGGGGGCAUUCGUAUUGCGACGUUAGAGGUGAAAUUCUUGGAUCGUCGCAAGACGGACAGAAGCGAAAGCAUUUGCCAAAAAUGUUUUCAUUAAUCAAGAACGAAAGUUAGAGGUUCGAAGGCGAUCAGAUACCGCCCUAGUUCUAACCAUAAACGAUGCCAGCUAGCGAUCCGCCGAAGUUCCUCCGAUGACUCGGCGGGCAGCUUCCGGGAAACCAAAGCUUUUGGGUUCCGGGGGAAGUAUGGUUGCAAAGCUGAAACUUAAAGGAAUUGACGGAAGGGCACCACCAGGAGUGGAGCCUGCGGCUUAAUUUGACUCAACACGGGAAACCUCACCAGGCCCAGACACCGGAAGGAUUGACAGAUUGAUAGCCCUUUCUUGAUUCGGUGGGUGGUGGUGCAUGGCCGUUCUUAGUUGGUGGAGCGAUUUGUCUGGUUAAUUCCGAUAACGAACGAGACUCUAGCCUGCUAAAUAGGCGUACCUUAUGGUAUCGCGAAGGCCCCCGGCUUCGGCCGGUGGGUUUUUACUACCAACGUACAAACAAAUCUUCUUAGAGGGACAGGCGG
rnacentral:rRNA from 1 species